rnacentral:rRNA from 1 species
GCAAGUCGAGCGAAGCACUUUGUUUUCAAUCUUCGGAGGAAGAACGAAGUGACUGAGCGGCGGACGGGUGAGUAACGCCUGGGCAACCUGCCUCAUACAGGGGGAUAACAGUUAGAAAUGACUGCUUAUACCGCAUAAGACCACGGUACUGCAUGGUACAGUGGUAAAUACUCCGGUGGUAUGAGAUGGGCCCGCGUCUGAUUAGCUGGUUGGUGAGGUAACGGCUCACCAAGGCGACGAUCCGUAGCCGGCCUGAGAGGGUGACC